GAAGGCCUCUGCGGGUUUGCUUUGAGGUACUUCCUUCCUGUCAACCCUGUUCUGGAGUCUGU
rfam:Macaca mulatta chromosome 8, whole genome shotgun sequence.